AUGCUUCCUCCUCAAAGCCAGCUGCGCUACAACCCCAAGGUUGGAGUGGGAAUAGUCAAGCUCAUUUUCGGCUGCAACUAUUUGGAAGUUGGGAGCUAUGCCAUAAAGGUUGGGCGACCGGCAUUCGAAUGGUGCAUCGCGGCCUUGAGUAAGGCUGAAGAAUUGCAUGGUACCGAAGAAGGCCAGAAGGUUCUUGCUGCAGGACCGUUGGCCCUUCCGAUGGUGGUAAUCUCAGAAGCAAUCCGCUUUGGUCUAUGGAGGGCCUGUGUGACGAAACGACUUGGUGAGGAGGUGGAUGAUGUUGUUGAGGAGGAGUACAGCCAGUACUUCCAGUAUUGGCAGAAAAUGUCAGUGGCCAUUGUCAACAAGGAUAAGUGGGAUACUCUGGAGUUAGAUGAGCUAGUCAAAUUGGUCCGUGUUCUCAUGAGGAACAAGGAAAUCAAGCCUGAGAAGAAAAGGUGGGUGCCGCGCUCUUCAUCAAGCACCAGCUCAGGGAAGAAGUGA
rnacentral:rRNA from 1 species